rnacentral:rRNA from 1 species
UACAGAGGUCUCAAGCGUUGUUCGGAUUCAUUGGGCGUAAAGGGUGCGUAGGCGGCGCGGUAAGUCGGGUGUGAAAUCUCGGGGCUUAACUCCGAAACUGCAUUCGAUACUGCCGUGCUUGAGGACUGGAGAGGAGAAUGGAAUUCACGGUGUAGCAGUGAAAUGCGUAGAUAUCGUGAGGAAGACCAGUGGCGAAGGCGGCCCCCUGGACCGGUACUGACGCUGAGGCGCGAAAGCGUGGGUAGCAAACGGG